UUUUAUGCUCUUGUGUGUGUGUGAUUUGACAGCUUCUUGGAGACUACAGCCUAUUUCUUCAUGAAACCAAAACUUGGAGAGAAGGAGGUGUCCCCAAAUGUUUUCUUCAGUAUCUGGCAUGAAUUCAGCUCUGAUUUUAAAGACUUUUGGAAGAAAGAGAACAAACUUAUUCUACAAGAGAGAGUAAAAGAAGCCGAAGAGGUGUGUAGGCAGAAAAAGGGAAAAUCACUUUACAAAAUAAAACCAAGACACGACUCUGGAAUUAAAGCGAAGAUAAGCAUGAAAACCUGAACAACGAAAAGCAGAAUGAAAAUGAGUCAUUUCAAUGACUUUCACAGAAUUCAGCUGACCUGAGGGUGGGAAGGAAACUACAUCGUUCUGAUCAUCUUUCUUCUUGACCUCUUACAUAACCUUUGUGUUUUCUAGAGAGUUCACUAAUUACUGAAUUUUACUGUAUAUUCGUGUAAUGCAAAAUCACUAGACCAGUGGAGAAUCUGACACCUUUUCUUUUUGUAAAAGUUUAUGGUAUUAUACCAAUAGACCAAAACAGCAUGUAAAAGAGGCAGUAUCUGCACUAAUUCUGAACAUGCUAAACAUUAACUUAAAAUGUACUUUUAUGAGAAUAUUCCUUGUCACCACAAAAGCACUUUCCUUUCUACUGACAACCAGUACUCCACAUCACAGCAGUUAGAUAUAUGGAUAAAAUGUUAUUUCUAGUUAAUUGUUCGUAUCAAUUUCAAGUCUACAUGUACAUUUUCUAUUUCACAAUUUAAGUACCCUUUAUAUAUCAUAAUCAGUGCUUUCCCAACUCUUGGGUGGCUCUCCAUAACUAUAUAUUUGUGAAAAAAAGAUUUUUUUUUUUUUUACUCAAGUCAGAUGAUGAGUAGAAAGUAUGGUAGAAGAAAAACUCUUCCCUAUUUUAUUACAGGCAAGAAGACAAGUUUUAAGUUUAAUGAGUGCUUUUGUCCUUUGAGACUUAUAGAAAAGUUCAUCUGCAACAGAAGUAAAUUAAAGAUGUGCCUCCCUAUCACUUUCCCAUCUCACGUCACAAAGAAAAUUUCACUCAAUAUUUUGAAGGAAUUUAAAUGAACAAUGCUCAUAAAAUUGCCAAACCUGACUAAUUAUUAACAGAAAAACAAACAAAAACACAGUAAGUUUUUGACUGGAUUGGCAUCUCCCUAGAACCUGUUGAGUAAACAUACCUACCUGAGUAUUUUGACGUGAUUGGGGUUAUCUUUCUGUGUUCCGGUAGGUGAUUAAAACUGGGAAAUGGGAAUGUUGUGGUUUAUUAUCUAAAGGAGUCUAGGAAAAGGUUUGAUUUGAUUUUACUUUCCCAUUCUUUCCAAGAAUACUUUAAAGUCAGUUCAUAAUGCAUUGUGGUAAUUUUGUCUAACAUUAAUAGUUGUUUUUUUAAUUGCUUUUAAAGAUAUUUGUUGGGAGUUAAUGGUUGUGGAUAAAGGGGAGAAUUUGUUGCUAUUGCAAAGCAAUUGUGAAAAACAACUUAAAAAGAAAAACAAUAUUCUAAAUCAUAACUCUGUUUGUAUUUAUGUAAAGUAUAGUCUAUUACCUUUUAGUUUGUAGUUUAAGUGCAAAGAAAUAGUAGUGGAUUUUUUCUGUUGUUGUUUUGUAGUCUUCCUCUUCCCUCAGUCCCUUCAAAGUGUAUAUUACCAUUCUCCAAUGAAAUAAUAGGGCAUUUAACAAAGAUCGCUAUGUGCAAUACUGUAUUUAGUGUUUCUAUUUCAAUUUUUCUAGGAUGUUAAUUUAUAUGAAAAUAAAAUGAAUAAUAAAAGA